UGCCAGCCGCCGCGGUAAUACGUGAGGGGCAAACGUUGUUCGGUGUCACUGGGCUUAAAGAGCACGUAGGCGGUUGUGCAAGUAAGGUGUGAAAGCCCCCGGCUUACCCGGGGAAUUGCGCCUUAUACUGCAUGACUUGAGGACCAGAGGGGUAGGAGGAACUCCAGGUGUAGCGGUGAAAUGCGCAGAUAUCUGGAGGAAGGCCGGCGGCGAAGGCGUCCUACUGGCUGGUUCCUGACGCUGAGGUGCGAAAGCGUGGGUAGCGAACAGGAUUAGAUA
rnacentral:rRNA from 1 species